rnacentral:rRNA from 1 species
CAGGCAAAUCCGGAAAAUCAAGGCUGAGGCGUGACGACGAGGCACUACGGUGCUGAAGCAACAAAUGCCCUGCUUCCAGGAAAAGCCUCUAAGCAUCAGGUAACAUCAAAUCGUACCCCAAACCGACACAGGUGGUCAGGUAGAGAAUACCAAGGCGCUUGAGAGAACUCGGGUGAAGGAACUAGGCAAAAUGGUGCCGUAACUUCGGGAGAAGGCACGCUGACACGUAGGUGAAGUGAUUUACUCAUGGAGCUGAAGUCAGUCGAAGAUACCAGCUGGCUGCAACUGUUUAUUAAAAACACAGCACUGUGCAAACACGAAAGUGGACGUAUACGGUGUGACGCCUGCCCGGUGCCGGAAGGUUAAUUGAUGGGGUCAGCGCAAGCGAAGCUCCUGAUCGAAGCCCCGGUAAACGGCGGCCGUAACUAUAACGGUCCUAAGGUAGCGAAAUUCCUUGUCGGGUAAGUUCCGACCUGCACGAAUGGCGUAAUGAUGGCCAGGCUGUCUCCACCCGAGACUCAGUGAAAUUGAACUCGCUGUGAAGAUGCAGUGUACCCGCGGCAAGACGGAAAGACCCCGUGAACCUUUACUAUAGCUUGACACUGAACAUUGAGCCUUGAUGUGUAGGAUAGGUGGGAGGCUUUGAAGUGUGGACGCCAGUCUGCAUGGAGCCGACCUUGAAAUACCACCCUUUAAUGUUUGAUGUUCUAACGUGGACCCGUUACCCGGGUUGCGGACAGUGUCUGGUGGGUAGUUUGACUGGGGCGGUCUCCUCCUAAAGAGUAACGGAGGAGCACGAAGGUUGGCUAAUCCUGGUCGGACAUCAGGAGGUUAGUGCAAUGGCAUAAGCCAGCUUGACUGCGAGCGUGACGGCGCGAGCAGGUGCGAAAGCAGGUCAUAGUGAUCCGGUGGUUCUGAAUGGAAGGGCCAUCGCUCAACGGAUAAAAGGUACUCCGGGGAUAACAGGCUGAUACCGCCCAAGAGUUCAUAUCGACGGCGGUGUUUGGCACCUCGAUGUCGGCUCAUCACAUCCUGGGGCUGAAGUAGGUCCCAAGGGUAUGGCUGUUCGCCAUUUAAAGUGGUACGCGAGCUGGGUUUAGAACGUCGUGAGACAGUUCGGUCCCUAUCUGCCGUGGGCGCUGGAGAACUGAGGGGGGCUGCUCCUAGUACGAGAGGACCGGAGUGGACGCAUCACUGGUGUUCGGGUUGUCAUGCCAAUGGCACUGCCCGGUAGCUAAAUGCGGAAGAGAUAAGUGCUGAAAGCAUCUAAGCACGAAACUUGCCCCGAGAUGAGUUCUCCCUGAGACUUUAGGUCUCCUGAAGGAACGUUGAAGACGACGACGUUGAUAGGCCGGGUGUGUAAGCGCAGCGAUGCGUUGAGCUAACCGGUACUAAUGAACCGUGAGGCUUAACCUU